ensembl:lncRNA
UACCAGGUGUCCGCCCGGUGUCCUGUGUCGAAAUUAUUGCGUAAUCUUUAGGUCCAUGCGCCGUUCCAUUUCUUCAGAAGAGAAAGUCAACUGCCACGAUGGAUUUAUCGUCGAUAGAUAUGUGAAAAACACCUUGAGGAUUGAUUCUAAACAUCGGUUUGCCAUGUUUCUGUCGAUAUUAUGGAGUUAAUUUGGAAAAAAGUUUGCAUUUUAAUGACUUAAUUUUAGUUUUUUUUCUUACCCAAACGUGAUGAAGAAAACGGAGCGAUUUGUCAACACAAAUAAUCUUUUUGUAAAAACUGAACAUUUGCUAUCUAACUGAGUCUCCUCAUUGAAAACAUCUGAAGUUCUUCAAAGAGGACCUGAGCCCUAGGACCGUGCCCCAGGACUACCUGACAUGAUGACUCCUUGUUGUCCCCAGUCCACCUGACCGUGCUGCUGCUCCAGUUUCAACUGUUCUGCCUUAUUAUUAUUCGACCAUGCUGGUCAUUUAUGAACAUUUGAACGUCUUGGCCAUGUUCUGUUAUAAUCUCUACCCGGCACAGCCAGCAGAGGACUGGCCACCCCACAUGGCCUGGUUCCUCUCUAGGUUUCUUCCUAGGUUUUGGCCUUUUGGCCACCGUGCUUCUACACUUGCAUUGCUUGCUGUUUGGGGUUUUAGGCUGGGUUUCUGUACAGCACUUUGAGAUAUCAGCUGAUGUACGAAGGGCAAUAUAAAUAAAUUUGAU